rnacentral:rRNA from 1 species
GACAGAGGUGCCAAGCGUUAGGCGGAAUCACUGGGCUUAAAGCGUGUGUAGGCGGGUGCCUAAGUACCUUGUGAAAUCCCCCGGCUCAACCGGGGAACGGCUGGGUAUACUGGGUGCCUUGGGUCAUCUAGGGGCUGCCGGAACAAAUGGUGGAGCGGUGAAAUGCGUAGAUAUCAUUUGGAACGCCAAUGGUGAAAACAGGUAGCUGGGAGUGUGCUGACACUGAGACACGAAAGCCAGGGGAGCAAACGGG